AAAUAAUACGAAAUAUGAUUGUUUACAUUAAAAUGCAAAAGUUGAUGAUAAAGUAUGAUAAGUUGAAAAAAGUGACAUUUGAGGUCUAGAAAGUCACUUUUCAUCAAAAGUACCAUAACAAAACUUGUUUCCAUUCAUCCUGUGUGUCCAUGCACACUUGUGCUCUUUAUCCGCUCAAAACGCUAUACAGCGAACGAGAAGGCGCUAGGAGCAAAGGAAAGUGGUUUUUCUAACAAACUCAUGUAAUCAAUUGCCCGACGUACUCCAAUUUGAUUUUUUUCACAUAGUUAGACAUAAUAUAGUACUAUGAAAUGUUUCUGACCCUAAAUAAUACGAAAUAUGAUUGUUUACAUUAAAAUGUAAAACUUGAUGAUAAAGUAUGAUAAGUUGAAAAAAGUGACAUUUGAAGGUCAGAAAGUCACUUUUCAUCAAAAGUACCAUAACAAAACUUGUUUCCAUUCAUCCUGUGUGUCCAUGCACACUUGUGCUCUUUAUCCGCUCAAAACGCUAUACAGCGAACGAGAAGGCGCUAGGAGCAAAGGAAAGUGGUUUUUCUAACAAACUCAUGUAAUCAAUUGCCCGACGUACUCCAAUUUGAUUUUUUUCACAUAGUUAGACAUAAUAUAGUACUAUGAAAUGUUUCUGACCCUAAAAUAUUACGAAAUAUGAUUGUUUACAUUAAAAUGUAAAAGUUGAUGAAAAAGUAUGAUAAGUUGAAAAAAGUGACAUUUGAGGUCUAGAAAGUCAGUUUUCAUCAAAAGUACAAUAACAAAACUUGUUUCCAUUCAUCCUGUGUCUCCUGACACACUUGUGCUCUUUAUCCGCUCAAAACGCUAUACAGCGAACGAGAAGGCGCUAGGAGCAAAGGAAAGUGGUUUUUCUAACAAACUCAUGUAAUCAGUUGCCCGACCUACUCCAAUUUGAUUUUUUUCACAUAGUUAGACAUAAUAUAGUACUAUGAAAUGUUUCUGACCCAAAAUAAUUACGAAAUAUGAUUGUUUACAUUAAAAUGUAAAACUUGAUGAUAAAGUAUGAUAAGUUGAAAAAAGUGACAUUUGAGGUCUAGAAAGUCAGUUUUCAUCAAAAGUACCAUAACAAAACUUGUUCC
ensembl:lncRNA